rnacentral:rRNA from 1 species
GACGUAGGGCGCGAGCGUUUGUCCGGAUUUAUUGGGCGUAAAGAGCUCGUAGGCGGCUUGUCGCGUCGACUGUGAAAACCCGUGGCUCAACCAUGUGGUCUGCAGUCGAUACGGGCAGGCUAGAGUUCGGUAGGGGAGACUGGAAUUCCUGGUGUAGCGGUGAAAUGCGCAGAUAUCAGGAGGAACACCGGUGGCGAAGGCGGGUCUCUGGGCCGAUACUGACGCUGAGGAGCGAAAGCGUGGGGAGCGAACAGG